CCGAACCCGCAACCUCAUGGUUCCUAGUCGGAUUCGUUAACCACUGCGCCACGAUGGGAACUCCUGAGUUUCAAUUCUUAUCUUUGAGGCCUCAGAAUAUCAAAUUAGUACAGAGUUCCAGGACACUUUGGGGACAAAUUUUUGGAUCUAAGUCCAUAAGUAGAGAGCUGUUAUUGCUUGGAACACAUGGAGAAAAAUUGUUGGGGCAUUCUAGUCUUAAGGCAAGUCAUAAGGGCUUCCCUUAUGUAGAGGUAAUUUCAGCCUGUAAUUCUCCUUCCUUUCCCUCUUGUCUCAUGGACUAAGAUAAACACUUCUUAAGAUUUGUGAAUACAACAUAGAGGGCUUCUCAUUAAAAAGAACCACUGUGUAAAUGUCUUCUUCCUGGGAGGACUUCCUUUUGCCUACUAAAACUGACAGAGGGACUGAUCAUUUGAGUGUACAGGAAUACUAAGGAAUUUAAAAAGGUGAAGCCACUCUCUUAUUCAAUUCCAUAAUUCUAAGAUUUAAUAAAGUAGGUAUGAUCAUGUUGCCCUAGAAAAUAGAUUUACCUUUAGAAUUUAGGAAAGAAGGCCAGUAAACGAAUGGAUUUACUCCUUCACUGUCCAGUGAUUCUCGGACUUACCUCAUAAUGGAACAUUGAUUUCGCCUGACCGGUGAAUUUUCAUUAUUUGUGGUCAUAAGAAUUAGUACUAUUUUUAGUAUUGUAAAUUAUAUAAAAUAUGAUGUCUUUCAUGUUUUUAUUAAAGAUACACAGUACAGAAGGUAGAAAUUUAAGGUCAGCUUGGCUUCUAAUAGAUAAGUAAUAACUUGAGGGUGUCUCUCCCAGAUAGUUGUAUUUCUAUGCAUAGCUUGCUUUACCUUUUCCUGUCUAUGUAUGUCUAUGUCUGUUUAUCUAUCCAUCUGUCUGUCUGCCUGUCUAUCUAUCUGUUUCAUUUGUCUAUUCCCAUUGGUGAAACUGUUCACAUCAUUAUGUAUACUAAUUGAAAUCAUCAUAAUUAAAAAUUUAGUGUAAAUGCAAAUAUUCCCAAGAAAGUUGAGGAUGAGUGAAUUAUUUUAAUUAGAUUUUUUUUCUUAGCAGAUCUCUGGCACGUGUCAAGAGGAGAAUGUCUAACAUGCAUAGGGCAUUAUGAAAUCUGCUGACAACAACUGCAGCAAUCCUGUGUGUUCUUCAAGGCCCUGCUCAUUUGAUGUUACAGCAUAGUGACUAGCAAACGGCAGACUUUGAUGUCAGUGGACUCAGUCGUAAGUUUCUCUACUAGUUUUGUGACCUUGGGCUAGUCAUUUCCCCCCUUAGUUUCUAAAACCAUAAAUAUGAGGAUGGAUUGCUGAGAGACCUGAGUGGGUAGAAUGCAUGUAAAGUGCUUUGAAAGAUGCUCUGUGUUAACUGUUGUGUCAUAUUUAAUUUUUUUUGCCUUGCCUACAUAUCCAUUUAGCUUUUUUUCUUUUUUCAUAGUAUUUUGGAAGAAUAUUUCAAACUAUAUCCACUACACCACUGGUUUGAUUCCUCACAGUGUUAAGAUCAUCAGUUAUGUCUUCAAAUGUGGAUCUUAAUUGUGUUAUUGAUUUUAGUUUAAGAAAGCAAUCCUUUCUUAUGUAUAUCUUUCUUUUUGUGAUUCUGCGGGUUUUCUCUCUCACCCUUAUGACUUUAUUCUAUUUCAUAAAUGUUCUAACUUCUUCUGUUUUAAUUAAAAUACCAUAUAUAUGUAUAUCUAUUAAAUUUAUUCUUUCAAAAUUCUCUUUCUUACAUUGGGCCUUAAAUUUGAUGUAACUUCUGUCGUGUUGACAUUGCUUUUCACUUUUUUCCAGAAAUCCAGUUUUCUUUAUUUUUGUUUUAUUUUUCUGUUUAUUUAUUCUUAGAGUUUGCUAGCACACUGGGUGUGUGCACUGCCCUUGGACUCUAGGGACUGUUUACUUUAGUGAUGGUUAAGUCUACCUCUUAGACCUCUGGCCAUAAUGGCUUUUGGUACAGAGAGUUCCCCCCCUCCCCCAGUUUUCACUAUCUGCAGCUGUUUAUUUAGUGUCACUAUCUAAGAUUUGAUCUACUUUUACAUUUUACUGCUUGCUAUAUGUCGUUUCGUGUAAUAAGGACCUUAAAAACUACAGUCUUCAAUAUCCUCUGCUUCCACAAAUCUUCUCCCUACCUAUAUCUGUAAUGACUCAUUUGUAAGAAGUAUACGUUCUAAAAAUAAAUGUGCCAUUACUACUGUGCCCACACUUUAUUUCUUACCCAGUUUCCUAGAGUUUGCAGGAUUAGAUCAGAGGGAGAAAGGGAGGUCCCAAUGGUAGGUUGGGCAAUGGAAGUGGGAAGAAGCCUCCUGCCUGCUUCAAAAACCUGAACCUGUCACCAGGGAUCUAUAGCUCCUCCCUCUGGAUAGUACACUUGGGAUCCAAUGAAUUGUGAUGAAUUGGCUUUUCAUCCAAAACACCUACUAGAUGCUUGGCAUACGGUAGGUACUCAACAAAUGUAUAUUUCUUCCUCCUCUUUAUGGUGGGCAGUGUCACUGACUUUACUUUUAGUGAGGAUUCUUCCCAAAUGCUUCCUAAAUUCUGGUGUUAGUUCACUAUCUGUCUUAAUUCCCAGUGUAUGUCAUCUUUUCAUUUCUCUUAGAUGGUCAAUAGUGAAAGCCUUUUCAUACUGAAUUACCUAGGUAUGUUUUAGAAAUAUUGCACUGGUAUCACUGUGACAGAUGCAUUGAUAAUAGAGUGAGGUUGAGGAAGCAAGAAUAGUUAGUAGGAUACGUUUAUGAUUCUAACUCCAAAUGACAGAAUUUGAACAUUAGUAAGAAGAUGACAGAGAAGAGAAUGGAUUCAAGAUGUAUUUGAGAGGUGCAGUAACAAUGCUUAGCAAACGAUUAUAUGUGAUGUCUGGGGGAAACUGGUGACUAAGACAAAGAGGCCUACAGUGAGUAACAGACUCUAACUUGCAUUACUGAUUCAGUACCUUGGUGCAGGGGAGAGUAGGUUGCAGGGCAGGAAUUAAAAACUUUGGUUUUUGGCAUGUUAAGCCUAUGAAGUCUUCUGAGUGUCCAUUUGGAGAUAUUCAGAAGGUAGUUGUAACUACGGAUCUGCAUUUUAGGAGAUCAGUCAUGACAGAGGAUAUGGGUUUGGGAGUUACCAGCAUAUGGAAAUAGGAUUAAAAUGAAGAUAUAUUGUAUAUAAGGGGGCAGAUGACAGGGAAAGACAAGACUGUGGACAGUGACACAGUUGCAUUAGUCCAGGAAAGAAAUGAUCACUGAUUUCUUCAAAACAGUAACAAAGCAAAAGGAAGGAAGGAAGGUCCAAAUUUUGAAGACUUACUGUAAAUGUGCAAUCAAGUUAGAAAGAAAUCGUGUGCUGGGGCUGUAGUAAGUGGCUCAGAGCGCAUAAGGCCAAGGAAAGAUGUGAAAAUUUGGGAUGGAUAACAUGAGCCACCAGGAGGGAGGAGCAAAGGCCAGGGUCAAGUGAAACACUGUAGGCCCAGCUGAGACCAGAAACCAGACAUUUGUAGAGGCCACAAUUUUCACAAUAAGUGACUUUCUUCUUAUUUCUUGGGUUACAAGAAAUAAGAAGGUGGAUUUGUUGUCUUGAUACAAGUUUGAGGUUUUUUAGAUAGGCAUCACAAGAGGAUUAGAGGCCAGGAAUGGGCAAAAACGAAAGUAUGAGGCUAUGGGUAUAUAGGUUGUGUCCAGAAGCAGCUGAAACAAUAUAUGUUAGAGGUAGGGAGAGGUAGUAUUCUAGGAGAGAAAAGAUGGGUAAUGGGACCAGAGACCUAAAGUUGAUUGGAUAUUAGAUAACUUAGCUUUUGUAAAAUAAGUUUAUGGGAGGUAAGGCUCACAACAAAUGGUGAAAGUUAGAUGCUUGUAUUUAGAUUUCCUUUGCCUGAAGGGCUGCUCCAGGUAGUAAGCACAGAACUUAUAUGAAUGAACAAAAGGUGGCUUUACUAUCUGAAGCCAUGGGUGAUAGAAUAGAGGUACAUUCGAGGAUAUGAUCUUUCAGUUUUUGUCCAUAUCUCCUAUGGAUCUGAUACAGAUUUCUCAAUUGCAGUUUGUUUCUAGCCUUCCAUGUCAAUGUAGUAAUUACCCUGUAUGCAAUAAUAGAAGUAGCUGUUGAAAGGAUAAACUACAACAGUAAAUUGAUUAGAUGACUAUGUGAUGCUGUUUGGUGGCUGUAGGAUGGGUCUUCAACAACUAUAUUAUCUCUGAAACCUUGUCAGAAACUUUCCUCGGAUUAAUUUUUUUAAAAAUGCGAACUUAAGGAUGGCAGUGAAUUCACAAUAAGAUAAGAAUGACUUAACUGCUCCUUUACAUAGGUAGACGAGUAACCACGUUGGAGUGCUGGAUGCAUGACUGGAGAAGGGGGUUAUAGUGGUUAUAGAAA